rnacentral:rRNA from 1 species
UGAGGAAUAUUGGUCAAUGGGUGCAAGCCUGAACCAGCCAUCCCGCGUGAAGGACGACUGCCCUAUGGGUUGUAAACUUCUUUUGUAUAGGGAUAAACCUACCCUCGUGAGGGUAGCUGAAGGUACUAUACGAAUAAGCACCGGCUAACUCCGUGCCAGCAGCCGCGGUAAUACGGAGGGUGCAAGCGUUAUCCGGAUUUAUUGGGUUUAAAGGGUCCGUAGGCGGACUUAUAAGUCAGUGGUGAAAGCCUGUCGCUUAACGAUAGAACUGCCAUUGAUACUGUAAGUCUUGAGUAAAUUUGAGGUAGCUGGAAUAAGUAGUGGAGCGGUGAAAUGCAUAGAUAUUACUUAGAACACCAAUUGCGAAGGCAGGUUACCAAGAUAUAACUGACGCUGAGGGACGAAAGCGUGGGG